rnacentral:rRNA from 1 species
AGCGAACGUUAGCGGCGGGCUUAACACAUGCAAGUCGCACGAGAACGAGGGGGCAACUCCUCUAGUAAAGUGGCGCACGGGUGCGUAACACGUAGGUGAACUACCCUCCGAUGGGGGACAACCGGCCGAAAGGCUGGCUAAUACCGCGUACGUCAACGGGGCAUUCGAGCCCUGUUGGGAAAGCGGCCCUCUUCACGAAAGGUCGCGUCGGAGGUUGUGCCUGCGGCCCAUCAGCUAGUUGGUGAGGAAUGGCUCACCAAGGCUAAGACGGGUAGCUGGUCUGAGAGGAUGAUCAGCCACACUGGAACUGAGACACGGUCCAGACUCCUACGGGAGGCAGCAGUGGGGAAUCUUGCGCAAUGGGCGAAAGCCUGACGCAGCAACGCCGCGUGGAGGAUGAAGGCCCUUGGGUUGUAAACUCCUGUCGCUGGGAAGAAAUCGUUCGGGGCUCAUACCCUCGGACGUUGACU